UUUGGCAAUGGUAGAACUCACACUGGUGAGGUAUCAGGAUCCGGUGGUUCUAGACUUGCCAACUA
rnacentral:pre_miRNA from 5 species